GCUGCGUGUCCCGUCAGGGGAGCCCACGUGUCCAGGAUUUUCGUAAAGAGGAGCCACCUGCCCCUGAUGGAGCUGCUGGGCCUCAGCGCUCCCUGGGCCGCGCCAACUCCAGAGCAACAGACUAAGCUGCGCUCUCAGAUCCCUGCUCUGGCUGCUGGCCCCUGGCGAGCCUGCGCCCGGGCUCACCUUACUGUACAGCUGAGGAGUAUUCCACGGUGUAGACGGCGGCUCCUUCACCCACUCUUCCGCCUUUGAGCACGCUGAUGCCUUGAAUUGAGAAAUGUUCAUUGCAGAAGAUGUUGUCAUUUGAGGAUGUGGCUGUGGUUUUCACCUGGGUGGAGUGGCAGGACCUAGAUGAUGCUCAGUGGACUCUCUACAGGGAUGUGAUGCUGAAGACCUACAACAGCCUGUUGUCCACGCGUUUUGUGUUAGCAAACCUGAAUUCAUCAUCAGAUUGGAGCAGGGAGCAGAGCCAUGGACUGUCAAGGAACCCUCAAACCAGAGCCUCUUAGAUGUCCAUACUAUGGAUGACCUGAUUAAGACCAACCAGGAAAACCAGGGCAGGCAUUUGUGGCAAGUUCUAAUCGCCAAUUGCAAAACAUCAAAAGAUGUUGUCAUUUGAGGAUGUGGCUGUGGUUUUCACCUGGGUGGAGUGGCAGGACCUAGAUGAUGCUCAGUGGACUCUCUACAGGGAUGUGAUGCUGAAGACCUACAACAGCCUGUUGUCCACGCGUUUUGUGUUAGCAAACCUGAAUUCAUCAUCAGAUUGGAGCAGGGAGCAGAGCCAUGGACUGUCAAGGAACCCUCAAACCAGAGCCUCUUAGAUGUCCAUACUAUGGAUGACCUGAUUAAGACCAACCAGGAAAACCAGGGCAGGCAUUUGUGGCAAGUUCUAAUCGCCAAUUGCAAAACAUCAAGUAAGGAAAUAAUUGACUUAGGAAAAACACUUAAUUUGCAUCCAAUGUAUAAUUGAAUUUGAGUAUAAAUAAUGGCAUUCAUUCAGGAAUGAUGCCUGUAGAGUUUCAUACUUGGAAGAACAUGUUCUUCCCUGGUGAGCCUGAUGAGAUGCAUGCAAUAGAGAAAAUUGAGAGGCCUAGUGUAACUAGAAAAUGCCCUGGAUAUCCCGAGUAUCCUAGUCUUCAUGGUAUGAUUCAGACUUUGCAGCAACCUUUGGAAUUUAGUGGAGAAGGGAGAGACGUCAACAAAGAAACAAUAUUUUUUUUAACCCAUAGAAGGGAUUUGAUGGGAGAGAAUGCCUGUCAAUGUAAGUGUAGGAAAGGCUGUUAUAUGUCACCUCUCAUUGCCCAAGGUAGAGCUCAGGUAGGGCAGAUAAACUAUGCAUGUAAUGGAUGGGAAACAUCCUUUUUUGAGAAACCAACACAUUUGAAUCUUCAUAAAGAUUUUGAACACUACAAAUGUAAUCAAAGUGGGGAUUAUUUUGGAACCAAAUUAAACCUUACUCAGCUUCAGGAAGUACCACGUGAGAAAGUUUUUGACUAUAAUACAUGUGGGAAAACCUUUUAUAAAUUUUCUUUCCUUACUCAACAUGAGAAAAUAAAGCAGCUGAUAAACCUUAUGAAUUAGGGAAAAUAUCCGAUAAUUCAACCCUCAAAAUAUGUCAGAGAACUUGGACUGGAGAGACACCCUUAGUGUCUAAGCAAUGUCAGAGAACUUAUUUCUGGAAGUCAGGUCUUACUGAACAUCAGCAGUCUCAAACCAUGGAGAUGACUUAUGAAUGUAAAAAUUGUAGGAAAGCUUUCUGUCAGAAGUCAGCUCUUAUUGUACAUCAAAGAACUCACACAGGAGAGAAAUCUUGUGAAUGCAGGCAGUGUAUGAAAUCUUUUCACCAGAAAUCAGUCCUCAGUAAACAUCAGAAAACACACACAGGAGAGAAACCUUACAAAUGUCAUGAGUGUAGGAAAACUUUUUAUUGGAAUUCAGCCCUCACUAUUCAUCAGAGAAUCCACACAGGAGAGAAACCUUAUGAAUGUAUAGAAUGUGGGAAAACAUUCUGCCAUAAGUCAGACCUUAAUGUACAUCUGAGAAAUCAUGCAGGAGAGAAACCCCAUGAAUGUCAAGAGUGGGAAAUCUUUCUACUGGAAGUCAGCUCCCACUGUACAUCAGAGAACACACACAGGAGAGAAACCCUAUGAAUGUCAAGAAUGUAGGAAGAUUUUCUCCUGGAAAUCAACUCUCACUGUACACCAGAUAACUCACACAGGAGAGAAGCCCUAUGAAUGCAAAGUUUGUAGAAUGUCUUUCUACUGGAAGUCUGCUCUCACUGUACACCAGAGAACUCACACAGGAGAGAAAUCUUAUGAAUGUCAAGAGUGUAGGAAAACGUUUUAUCGGAAGUCAGCCCUCACUGUACACCAGAGAACUCACACAAGAGAAAAGCCUUAUGAAUGUAAAGAAUGUAGGAAAACUUUCUGCCAUAAGUCAGACCUCAAUGUACAUCAGAGAACUCACACAGUAGAGAAAUCUUUUGAAUGAAAACAGUGUGAGAAUUUUUUUAAUCAAAAGUUGGCCCUUACUAAACAUCAUAGUACUCACAGAGAGGGGAUACCGUACGACAGUCAAGAGUAUAGGA